rnacentral:rRNA from 1 species
AUGUACAUGCCUACAACAUAGCGUUAAUGCACCGGAUUCCAUUAGAACUCCGCAGUUAAGUGCGCUUUGGCUAGAGUAGUACUGGGAUGGGUGACUGCCUGGGAAUUCCUAGUAUUUUACAUG